UUCACACUAAAUGAUCAAAUUGAAGCUCAAAUCAAGACCCAAAUCGAUGCAUGAACAUGUAUAAAUGAUCACCUAGUCAAGGGGAUCAUAAGUUGACGCUUAACAAGCUAGAUGGAAGCUUGGGAAGGAAGCGGGUCAAACGGAUGGAGCACGCGGAAAA